UACAGAGGGUGCGAGCGUUAAUCGGAAUUACUGGGCGUAAGGCGCACGUAGGCGGCUUGGUAUGUCGGGUGUGAAAUCCCCGGGCUCAACCUGGGAACUGCAUCCGAAACUGCCUUGCUAGAGUAUGGGAGAGGGAAGUGGAAUUUCCGGUGUAGCGGUGAAAUGCGUAGAUAUCGGAAGGAACAUCAGUGGCGAAGGCGACUUCCUGGACCAAUACUGACGCUCAGGUGCGAAAGCGUGGGGAGCAAACAGG
rnacentral:rRNA from 1 species